ACGGAAAGGCCCUGCUUGCAGGGUACUCGAGUGGCGAACGGGUGAGUAACACGUGGGUGAUCUGCCCUGUACUUUGGGAUAAGCCUGGGAAACUGGGUCUAAUACCGAAUAUGACCACUUCUUGGAUGGGGUGGUGGAAAGCUUUUGCGGUAUGGGAUGAGCUCGCGGCCUAUCAGCUUGUUGGUGGGGUAAUGGCCUACCAAGGCGUCGACGGGUAGCCGGCCUGAGAGGGUGUACGGCCACAUUGGGACUGAGAUACGGCCCAGACUCCUACGGGAGGCAGCAGUGGGGAAUAUUGCACAAUGGGCGCAAGCCUGAUGCAGCGACGCCGCGUGGGGGAUGACGGCCUUCGGGUUGUAAACUCCUUUCGCAACCGACGAAGCUUUUGUGACGGUAGGUUGAGAAGAAGCACCGGCUAACUACGUGCCAGCAGCCGCGGUAAUACGUAGGGUGCGAGCGUUGUCCGGAAUUACUGGGCGUAAAGAGCUCGUAGGUGGUUUGUCGCGUCGUUUGUGGAAUACCGCAGCUUAACUGCGGGGUUGCAGGCGAUACGGGCAUAACUUGAGUGCUGUAGGGGAGACUGGAAUUCCUGGUGUAGCGGUGGAAUGCGCAGAUAUCAGGAGGAACACCGAUGGCGAAGGCAGGUCUCUGGGCAGUAACUGACGCU
rnacentral:rRNA from 1 species